AUGUGGGGUGCAAGAGAGAUUCUAUGGCACAAAGUGAAGCACAAGUGGGUUAAGAAGAAGAAGAAGCCCGCAGCAGCAGUGGAGAAGGAGAAGCACUUAAAACUCCUUCUCAAUCUCAAGUAUUUGCUCAUAUCCGAGUCCUCAAAGUCUGCACCCAUCUCCAUCAUCACCCAGAAACGUGACUCCCUCCAAAUCCCAUUCCGCUCCGUUGAUUUCAUCCGCAAAUACCCUUCUGUUUUUGAUGAGUUCCUUCCUGGCGGAGUCGGAGUUUUGCCCCACGUCCGCCUCACUGGUGAGGCAUUAAACCUCGACGCCGAACAAUGCUUGGUUUAUCAGAGCGAUACUUAUAAGAAGCAGACUGCUGAUCGCCUUUUGAAGCUCUUGAUGAUAUCAAAAACCAACAAAAUCCCACUUAGCAUCAUUGAUUGCUUGAAAUGGGAUUUGGGUCUUCCUCAUAAUUAUUAAAAAAAACCAUAGUUACGGAGUUGCCUGACUAUUUUCGAGUCGUAGGUGGCGGAAACAGAGAUGAAGAUGGUGUUUUGGAGUUGGUUUGUUGGAGUGAUGAGCUUGCAGUUUCGGUUAUGGAAAAGAAGGGUUCUAUUGCAUUCCCUAUGAAAUUCACGAGAGGUUUUGAGAUGGAUAAGAAGUCGAAGAAGUGGGAAGACGAGUGUCAGAAGUUGCCUUUCAUUUCUCCAUAUGAAGAUGCUUCUCAUCUUCUGCCAAAUAGUGAUGAAUCGGAUAAGUGGACGGUUGCUGUUUUGCAUGAGUUGCUUCAUAUUCUUGUGCCAAAGAAGACAGAGAGGGAUAAUUUGCUGUUGCUUGGAGAGUAUCUGGGGCUUCGGUCGAGGUUUAAGAGAGCAUUGCUUCAGCAUCCAGGUAUAUUUUAUAUGUCCACUAAGAUUGGAACCUACACUGUGGUUUUGAAGGAGGGUUACAAGAGGGGUUUGCUAGUUGAGGAUCAUCCAUGGAUGCAAAUGAUGAAUCGGUAUAUUCACCUCAUGAACAUGGUGAAGGAAGAUGGUAAACCGGUUAGUGUGCUAGGUGGAAGUAAUGAAAAGAAAGAGCAGACAGUUGUUGAUGAAAAAGAGAAAGGAGAGGAAGAUGAAAGUGGGGAAGAAUAUGAAGGGGCGUUGUCUGAUUCAUAUGAUGCUGAGGUUGAGAAUGCUAGUGACGAUGAGUAUGAUGAUGACAAAGAUGAAAACAAGAGUCAGAGAGAUGUUCGAAAAAAUGUUGCAGGGAAUGGAGGAAGAAAAGCUAGGAAAAUGAAUUUGGAUGUGAAGGGGAUUUCUAGAAAAUCGGAGUACGAUGAUGAUGAAGAUGGAAACAAGAGUCAGAGAGGCAUUCCAGUACUCCUUGAGGCAUACACAGCUCUAAAAUCUGAUGGACCGAUGGUCAUGUAUGUCUCCUGAUACAAAACCAUGAUUUGAUAUUGAGACUCUUAUAUUGGAUAUCAUCCUCUUCCUAAUGUACGUUAUAAAUUAUCCUUUGGUUGCAACACUACUGUCCAGAG